GGGCGAUUGGCGCAGCGGCUAGCGCGUCUCCCUUACACGGAGUAGGUCGCAGGUUCGAAUCCUGCAUCGCCCACCA
rnacentral:tRNA from 3 species